rnacentral:rRNA from 1 species
AGGGUAAGUGCGCUGGAAGACUACCAGCUUGAUAGGCGAGGCGUGUACGCGCAGUAAUGCGUUUAGCGGACUCGUACUAAUGCACGAGGGCUUUCUACGC